CUUUGGCUCAGGUCCUGGUCUCUUGGAUGGUGGUUUUGAGCUCCAUGCAGGUUCUGUGCUAACAGGAGGUUUCACUCACAGUUGACAAAAUGUAUUACCUGGACAGUAUCUCUAAAGACGCUACAAUCUGCAGCCUUCUUAAAGAUCCAUCUGGACUUGCUGCUUAUUCCCUUCAAGACACUGGAGAAUUCCAAGACUCUGGCUUUCCCCUGACUGGAGAACCUGGCGGCCACCUCACGAGGCGCUGGCAGCCUGAAGAUGCCUCAUUUGACCCUGAGUCCAGAGAAUUAUUCUUUACAUGGCACUCUCCCUCAUUAUAGGAUGGCACUACUACAUUUUAAUUGCAGCUGCCAAAACAACCCAGAAGGUACUAACCCUCCUAGGAUAAAACUUACAUUUUCUUU